rnacentral:hammerhead_ribozyme from 1 species
AUGCAGUUGACGAGUCGAAAAUGGGACGAAACGCGCUUCCUUGAU